rnacentral:sRNA from 1 species
GCGGCAGGGUCGAGGGCUGUGAAAGCGGUUUAGUGAUUGAAGCGCUACGUUUGUGUGAGGAAUUCUUGUCGUUGUCAGCGCCUGAGAACUUAGUUGGGAGCGGACGUUUACGUCGGAUCUCUCGUUUGGGACCCCAUUCUUGAAUGUGGGAAGAAGUGAGAGCGCAUGUUUGCUCAUCUAGAGACAGCCGUAUUAAUAACGAUAGGAUACAAACCAUCACCCCACCAAGUGAUAGCAGCUGUUAACCUGUGGGCGGUUACGUGCCGGUCACUGUUCCAAGCCCCUCACAUAUCGCGUCAUUGAAUAUAGGGACCCAGAACUCCAUUUGACAGAUGAGGAAACGGAGAGGCAGACAGAUAAAGAUGAUAUUGAGACUCCACUGCUAACUGAAGCAGCCCCCAUCCUUGAAGAUGGAAACUGUGAGCCAGCCAAGAAUUCUGAGUCUGUUGACCAAGGUGCCAAACCAGAGAGUAAAUCAGAACCUGUAGUUUCCACUCGGAAAAGACCAGAGACCAAACCUUCCAGUGACCUUGAGACUUC